GCGUGGAGACAGGUGGUGCAUGGCUGUCGUCAGCUCGUGCCGUGAGAUGUCGGGUCAAGUCCCGCAACGAGCGCAACCCUCACCCCUUGUUGCCAUCAGGUCAUGCUGGGCACUCUAGGGGAACUGCCCCGGCUAACCUGGAGGAAGGUGGGGACGACGUCAAGUCAUCAUGCCCCUUACGCCCUGGGCUACACACGUGAUACAAUGGCCGGUACAAAGGGAUGCAAGACCGCGAGGUGGAGCCAAACCCAAAAAGCCGGUCUAAGUUCAGAUCGGAGUCUGCAACUCGACUCCGUGAAGGAGGAAUCGCUAGUAAUCGCGCAUCAGCACGGCGCGGUGAAUACGUUCCCGGGCCUUGUACACACCGCCCGUCACACCACGAAAGCCGGCUGUACUCGAAGUCGCUGAG
rnacentral:rRNA from 1 species